rnacentral:rRNA from 1 species
UACGUAGGGGGCAAGCGUUGUCCGGAAUCAUUGGGCGUAAAGCGCGUGUAGGCGGCUCGAUAAGUCCGCUCUGAAAGUCCAGGGCUCAACCCUGGGAUGCGGGUGGAUACUGUCGGGCUCGAGUCCGGAAGAGGCGAGUGGAAUUCCUGGUGUAGCGGUGAAAUGCGCAGAUAUCAGGAGGAACACCAAUGGCGAAGGCAGCUCGCUGGGACGUGACUGACGCUGAGACGCGAAAGCGUGGGGAGCGAACAGG